UAUGUGAAACAAAACAUUCAAUAUCAUUCUCAUGAAAUUUUUUUGAAUUUCUUUACAAAAAAUGAACAUUUUAUUGGCCAAUUUCGAGAUCAAAAUGGAAAACUUAAUCUUGUAGUCUUAUACAAGCACUCCAAGUCUGUAUUAUUUACCUUUACGUAUUUAAUAGAAAAUGGGAUACACGAUGUAAGAAGAAUGAAUUUAAUGCUCUCAUACUGGUCUCGUGCACAUUAUGAAAAUGGAGUACGUAGAAACGAUAUCAUUCUACUCUGUGAUGCAGUUUUAUCGCAUAUAGUAGAAGCGCUUGGCUGUAAGUGCACCACAACAAUUAAGGGAGCACUGGAUAAAAUAAUUCUUAUACUUCUCGACGCAUAUCCUGAGAUCUAAAAUUAAUUCAGACAACAUCGCAAAUAGUGGUUCAAAAUUUAUAUUUCAUUAUAUUUUCUUCACAUUUCUAAAUUAUUGAAAGUAGUAGAUAAUAGACUGUUGUAUAUUUUUUUAUAUUUAUAUCAUCAUUAUUAUUGGGGCAACGAUCCUAGUUGAAUCAUGGCCUCCCGUUUUUA